UACAGAGGGUGCAAGCGUUAAUCGGAAUUACUGGGCGUAAAGCGCACGUAGGCGGUUUUUUAAGUCAGAUGUGAAAGCCCCGGGCUCAACCUGGGAAUUGCAUUUGAAACUGGGGAACUAGAGUGUGUGAGAGGGGGGUAGAAUUCCAAGUGUAGCGAUGAAAUGCGUAGAGAUUUGGAGGAAUACCAGUGGCGAAGGCGGCCCCCUGGCACAACACUGACGCUCAGGUGCGAAAGCGUGGGGAGCAAACAGG
rnacentral:rRNA from 1 species